rnacentral:rRNA from 1 species
UGGGGAAUAUUGCACAAUGGGCGCAAGCCUGAUGCAGCCAUGCCGCGUGUAUGAAGAAGGCCUUCGGGUUGUAAAGUACUUUCAGUCGGGAGGAAGGUGGUAAGGUUAAUAACCUUAUCAAUUGACGUUACCGACAGAAGAAGCACCGGCUAACUCCGUGCCAGCAGCCGCGGUAAUACGGAGGGUGCAAGCGUUAAUCGGAAUUACUGGGCGUAAAGCGCACGCAGGCGGUUGAUUGAGUCAGAUGUGAAAUCCCCGGGCUUAACCCGGGAAUUGCAUCUGAUACUGGUCAGCUAGAGUCUUGUAGAGGGGGGUAGAAUUCCAUGUGUAGCGGUGAAAUGCGUAGAGAUGUGGAGGAAUACCGGUGGCGAAGGCGGCCCCAUGGACAAAGACUGACGCUCAGGUGCGAAAGCGUGGGGAGCAAACAGG